rnacentral:tRNA from 1 species
GUGGGCGUAGCUCAGUUGGUAGAGCCCUGGAUUGUGAUUCCAGUUGUCGUGGGUUCAAGCCCCAUCGUCCACCCCA